GCUCGGACUCUCCGAAAAUGUUAAUGAAUAUAUGUCGGAUCCUUAAGAGAUAAUGCAUUUUGGAGGAUCCGAUACAGGUAAGACGCCAUUUUAAAGGGUCCCGCAGCAUACGUUACUAUAGGACUACAUCUGCCCCUUAUUACAAAGGGUUCCAUACAUUUAUUUGUUGUCAAUACUCAAUAUUAUGCCACAACUAUGCACAAAACAAUA
rnacentral:lncRNA from 1 species